rnacentral:rRNA from 1 species
UACGUAGGGGGCAAGCGUUGUCCGGAUUUAUUGGGCGUAAAGAGCGUGUAGGCGGCCUGACAAGUCUGCUGUGAAAACUCGAGGCUCAACCUCGAGAUGUCGGCGGAAACUGUCUGGCUAGAGUCCGGAAGAGGAGAGUGGAAUCCUGGUGUAGCGGUGAAAUGCGCAGAUAUCAGGAAGAACACCUAUGGCGAAGGCAGCUCUCUGGGACGGUACUGACGCUGAGACGCGAAAGCGUGGGGGAGCGAACAGG